rnacentral:lncRNA from 1 species
AGGGAGGGAAGGAGAGAGAGAGAGAGAGAGAGAGACUUUGUCAGAUCUUCUACAGUGAACUCUGUAGUUAGAAAACCACACAUUGAUGUCCAUACCGUUGAUUUUUCUCUAUUUGUCUUACUUUUUUUAAUCAUAAGAUUUUUUUCUUAUUACUUUAUUAAGGUAUCAUAUGUACAAUAAACAUCAUGUUAUCUAAAGUGACAAUCCUAGGUUCUGAUUUAUGGCUAUCUCAGUAAAACCACAGUCUGUUAUUAAGCAUAUUAAGCGUAGACACUCCCAUUAGAGUGUCUUUUCGUCUCUAUCCCACCACCCUUUCCAACAGCCCGCUGCUGCUCUCCUCGGUUAAUCACUGACCUGUCCUGAUUAACUUGACAUGUCUCUAAGCAUAUGAUCUUAAAAACGUACAAUAGAUGCUCUUUUGUAGUCUGGCGUUGGAGCUAAGUAUCUUAAGAUUCAUCUGUGUCGUAUCUAUAAAUAGUUGUUUUUGUUGCUGAUGACAAUGUCACUGUAUAGCUGUGACACUGUUUGUUAAUGGGAAAUUGUGGACAUUUUGGUUCAUGUAAAGCACAGUUUGUUGUUUUUUGAGUUAUAUUAGCUCUUUAUUGCUUAGAUCAAAGAACUUUGGGAAUCAUUUGUGUUUGCACUGGGAGGUGGCGGCAAGUGUUGAUGAAAGGAAUCCAUGAAACCUCAAACUGGCAAAGCAGGGAGGCUCACCCUGUCAGAAGUAUCUGUGAAGAUGAGUGUGGGUUCUGUGCCAGUCACCCCAGAUAAGGCAACUUGAAGGAGGAAAAGCUGAUCUGGGCCCAUGAUUUCAGAUUUGAGUCCAUUGGUUGCCUUGCCUCAUUGUUCUGGGCCUGUGGUAAGGCACUGAGUGGCAGAAGCAUGUGGUAGAUAGGGGACUUGAUAACCUCAGGGCAGCUCAGAAGCAGGGAAUGGGCAGCCUCCAGUGUCUCCUUCAAGGGCACCCCUCAGUGACCUAUUUCCUUCCAGGAUGUUGUCCACUAUCACAUGCUAGCAGUCCAGGUUGGUAACCAGCCUUUAAUACAUGCAGUUUGGGGGACAGGGAAAGUGGAGGGCAGGGUACCUCAGAUCGGAAAGCAAGUUCCAAAAUGAAUAGCUAGUAGAUUAGAAAGUGUAGUUUUUAGGUCCCUCAGAGUAGGGAACAACAGAGGAAAACUAAGGGGAUUAUUGAUAUUCCAGAGGAAAAGUAUCGUGGAUCUUUGCCCUAAAGAAACUUAGGCAUGUAGAAUUUCAUCAGAUGGAUAUAUUUCAAUGUAUUUACACCUCAGAUAUGUUACCUGUUUAUUCUGUUUGCAAUUUCUGGUGGCUUAGAUACACACAUCCUGCUACUUCUGGCAAAAUAGCUUGCUUCUACGGAAGCACCAAGGAGAAAAGCAGAUCUAACUAACGUGUCUUCUGUAGAGGUGUUCUGUUAACAGCGCAUAGGUCUUUCUUCAUCCUGAAUUUCUCCUUCAAGCCCAUGGUACUUCAAGUUCAUAAGUCCUUUAUGGCGAGGAACAGUGGUUUGUCAUCCCCAACAUUUGUAGCAGUGUUUUAGGGCUUUUGUUGUUGUUGUUGUUUUUUUUUUUUUUUAUGACACCUGAGUAGUCCCAGUUACUUUGACCUUGUGAAGGAAAAUACGGAUUGACUAAAAUGAAUUGUCAUAUACCAGCUUUCUACCUGUAACAUCCUGGUCUCAGACAGUGGCUUCUGUGGAGUUUGUGGGUCAGAUAACUCUCUAUCGAAAAUGAUGAGUAGGGUUUGCAGCUGUUCGCCAAGACUACUCUUAGGACUGGGCUGGGGAGAUGGGUGAGUACAGUGGUAGGCACAUAAGUGUAAGGACAGGAGUUCAGAUCUGGAACAUCCACUCAAUGCCAGGCGAGCAUGGAGGCUCACUUCCGGCCCCAACCUUGAGAGCUAGAGACAGGGAGCAAGCUGGCUAGCUAGCGGAGCCGAGUUAGGGAGCUGUGAGAGAGCCUGCCCACAAUUAAAGUAGAGAGCACGAGGAGGGCACCUUGAUGGCACCCCCUGGUCUCUACCAGCUCACUCAUGCACACAGGUUUGUGUAUGCCUCUACAUAUAUGAAAAUGCACACCCAUCACAGGCAAUUAUCCGCAAAUACAGUGACUUUUAAACCUUACAUACCCAGAAAUGUAAGAGCACUGAUUAUAAAAUGCUUGGAAGACACAGAAUGGUGUAACCGUUAAAGAGAAUCAGGCUUGGGAGAUGACAGCUCAGUGGUUAAGAGCACGGAGAGCCUGGCUUGAUUCCCAGUGGCCACAGGGUGGUUCAGAACCCGCUGCAACUCCAGUUCUAGGGGAUUUGACGCCCUCUUCUGCCCUCCACAGUCACCAGGCAUGCACAUGGUCCGCAGACUACAUGCAAACAAAGUCAUCCAGAAAUAUAAGACCAAAUUUUGAAUAAGAAAAUCACGCGCUAUAUGUGAUAGUUAGCUUUAACAUUUAAUUAUUCUGAUAUUUGGAUUGUGUAUGCUUUAACAUCCUUGAAGUAGUAAAGUGUGAUUAAGAAACUGUAUAUGGUUUUCUAAAUUUCCUUCUUAAUGUGAUCUAAAUUAGUAUGAUCUGUUUAUGACUAGCCCCACGUACGGAAUGUUUUGGUUUUCCUCUUUGUUAAAUAAUCCCUCAUUGUGCAUCCUUAUUUCUGAAUGCUUAUCUCUACUUAUGACCGUGCACUUUUAUAAUUAUUAAAUUUAAAAGUAAUGUGCUGGUUUGUGUGACCCGUUACAAUUUCUUCCAGCUUCCUGGAGUCAGGUUUUUGGGAUGGUCUUUUCUUCUUCUGUAUAAUAGUGUUUCCUGUCUAUUUACAUGUCUUUCCACUACUUUCUCAAACUCCCAUAGCACCUUUAAAAAUUGUAUUCUUGUUUGACACUUUCAGGACCUGUUCAGCCUGAGAGUAGAGGAUGCUAAUUUUUCUGUCACUUGCCCUUGGCAUGGUGCCUAUUUAUACCUGUGUGGUUCUUCAUGAUGUUAAGUGAGCAUCUUGUCUCUAGCAAUGAGCUUGUAUCCAUUGCCUUCUCAUUCAUGUAAAAUCCUUGCUUGGGCCUGGAGAGAUGGCUCUGCCCCACUGUGAAAAGCACUGGCUUCUCUUCCAGAGGACCUGGGUUUCAACCCAAGGAUCUAGAUGGUGUCUCACAAAUACCAGUAACUCCAAUUCGAGGGGUUUUCUCUUCUGGGCUUUUCAGAUACCAGCCAUACACGUGCUGCACAGACAUACAUGCAGGCACUCGUACACAUAAAACAAAAAUAAAAUACUUGUUACAUUCUUAGAAGCAAGAGUAUGCUUGGAAUGAGGAUUUAUCAGCCCCUCCUGUUUUCUCUUUUAAACUUCAAGAAGACUGAUGUGCUAGCCGGACGGCACAGAUGAAAAGUGCCUUGUUACAGCUGUUCUGUGCUUUAUACAUUUUAUUCUUUCUGUAAGGAGAAUUUACUACCUGUGCAAAUAGAAAAAUAAUGCAGUGGAGACUAGGAAGGGAAGACUUACAGAUGCCCAAGUAACCGAAUUCGGAAUGCCAGCCUUUUGACAAAAUGCUCCAAAACAGAAUGUGGCUUGCUUUUUGUUCUUUAGGACAGAAAACUACAGAUGUUCUAGCAUCUAAACUCUUAUGGAAAAGUCGAUGUGCAAAUAAUAAUACAGACUCCAUUGUAGGUCAAAAUAAAAUCGUGGAGGCUGGUCAAGGUAUUUUAGUAAAUUUUCAUAUGGUGUUUUCUGGAAUUUUUUUUUAACUUCAGAUUUUGAGUGGAAGACAGAAUUAUUUUAAAUUAAAUAUCUGUAUUUUGUUUUUUAAUGGGGAGACAGAUAGAUCAGGAGUUCAAAACCAGACUGGGCUAUAUAACACAGCC